GGAUUAGAUACCCUGGUAGUCCACGCCGUAAACGAUGUCUACUAGCCGUUGGGGUCCUUGAGGCCUUAGUGGCGCAGCUAACGCAUUAAGUAGACCGCCUGGGGAGUACGGUCGCUAGAUUAAAACUCAAAUGAAUUGACGGGGGCCCGCACAAGCGGUGGAGCAUGUGGUUUAAUUCGAAGCAACGCGAAGAACCUUACCAAGACUUGACAUCCCGGUCGCGGUCCUUGGAGACGAGGACUUUCAGUUCGGCUGGACCGGAGACAGGUGCUGCAUGGCCGUCGUCAGCUCGUGUCG
rnacentral:rRNA from 1 species